UGACUGACCGAUAGUGAACCAGUACCGUGAGGGAAAGGCGAAAAGAACCCCGGCGAGGGGAGUGAAAAAGAACCUGAAACCGUGUACGUACAAGCAGUGGGAGCACCCUUUGGGGUGUGACUGCGUACCUUUUGUAUAAUGGGUCAGCGACUUAUAUUCUGUAGCAAGGUUAACCGUAUAGGGGAGCCGUAGGGAAACCGAGUCUUAACCGGGCGUUAAGUUGCAGGGUAUAGACCCGAAACCCGGUGAUCUAGCCAUGGGCAGGUUGAAGGUUGGGUAACACUAACUGGAGGACCGAACCGACUAAUGUUGAAAAAUUAGCGGAUGACCUGUGGCUGGGGGUGAAAGGCCAAUCAAACCGGGAGA
rnacentral:rRNA from 1 species